CAGUACCCUAGACACACAAAAGACCCGCUUGAUACUAGCAAUAGAUUCCAACCCAACAAUCACUGAAUAUGCCCAUAGGCAAGCUACAUCCUCCUGCUGACUCACCAUGACCACCCAGAUUAGGUGCCAAGAAAGAGACAGUGGAGUGAGGUCUGUGGCCUAGGCAGGGCAUGAGCUCUGCAGAAGUUAUACAGGGAGCUGGGUGAUGCCUCAUGGGGGCAAUAUUCAGAGACGAGGUUUCAUAAUGCUUCCCAGGAUGGUCUCGAACUUCUAGGCUCAAGCGAUACUCCUGCCUCAGCCUCCCAAAGUGUGGGAUUACAGGGAGGGCGUUCGGUGUCCUGUUUCUUCUCUCAGAUUCCCUCAUCAGUGCAACGUCCAUAGCUUUUCCAUGUGCUUUAUUAUAAAUGCAUCCAGCAAAGACACACAGAGCAUCGAGUUCAUGCUGGCCACCAUGCUCAGCCCAACAACGAAGCUAGCCUGGUAAGAACCCCACUUCAAAUUUAUGAGUAUAACGUCAAGAAAAUUUGAUUCAGAUUUAUAAGAAGUGGUAAAGAAAAGCAUGGACAAGAGCAGGAGCUGAUGAGACAGAGACCUGGACUCUGUCUCCAGCAGAGCAGGCUGCAAACCUUGGCUGACAGCCCUGAGCCCCAGGGGACUGGGUCUCUCCAGGCCCCACAGCUGGAACACUCACUGCCUCCACUGCCCCCGGGCAGCUCCAUUUCCACUGGACUCUGUGCAGAGAAGCACCCCUUCCCCUGCAACCUGACCACUCUUUUUGGUGGUGGACUCACCAGCUCCCUACAACAGGUCCCAGACCCCACAGAUUCUUUCUGCCUCCAAGCAGCAGGGCAGCAAGGGAGAAGCCAAUUAUGCAGCUUGAUGUACCCAGGAUCGAAUCGUGAAGCAGCUUCCACCAGCUGUGAAACCUGAUCAUCAAACCCCUGAAUCUCCCCAAGUCUCCAAUUCCCAUCUGGAAAACCUAGCUCCAGUGAUUGUUCUGAGGGUUAACAUAAAGGACCGAGUACCCUGCUCUCAGUGCUUGGAAGAAAACAGAAACUCUUACAUAUCCGUUCCUUUUCUUCUCCCUCCUAGGUCUAGCUGCCUUACUCUUUCAAAUCCAUAAUGCUAAGGAGCCACUAUGUGUGUGAAGGGUUCAACUGUGGGAUUUAUGCCCUUUGACAAAUUGGCAACAAGUUUAAUAUCCAACAUUAAGGAAAUGACUGUUAUGAUUCACCUCUUGUAUGAAAACAGUGCACGGCCAUGCCAAUUCUAUUCUAUUGGCUAAGGAGAUGCUCAUAAUAUGGCAAUAAAAGAAAAAUGCAGGAUACAAAUUGUAUUUACAAAAUGUCUCAUCAAUGUGAAUGAAAAUACUACAAUAAAAUGAGGCAAAAUGUUGACAGAUGGUUUCUGGAUAGUGGACUUACCAGUCACAGUUUUCUUUUUGUUUAUAAUUCUUUAUUUUCAGAAGUAAAUUUUUUCCAGAAAUAAAUCACUGACCACCAGAUUCUAGUUUCAGAAAAGGUUUUUGUGAAUGUUAUGGUGAGGGGAGUCUCCUAGGAACCAAAAUGGAAGUUCUACAAAAGGACGUUUCACAGACGUGACCAAACAAGGAGGCAGCAUAAAGAGAAUAAGGAAAUGACCCGUAUUCUGUAUCCUGUUGGGGUUGGUACAAGUGAGUCGGGACAGCAUGAGAUGCUCAGCUCCAGGCCAUGAUGCCAGUCAUGGGCAGGGUCAAGGAGGCAUCUCCCUGAAUCCCAAGAGUUAAGAUCAACUAGGAGAGCACCAGUGUUUCUUCAAAACUAACAAAGGACUCAGAGAAAUAUAGGCAAGGAAGGUAUUUGAUUUCACUGUCUCCAUAUGCCUUCCUAGACUGUGGGUUUGGCUAACAGCAUUCCAUCUGUGAGGACAACUUCAAAACUCUUACUUCGAGGAGGAGUGAAGAACACCUAAGCCAACACACUCGCGUUAGAGAUGUGGAAACAGACCCACAGGAUGAAAUUCUCUCCGAGGCACCAGGACUAUUAAAGGAAUACUGAAUAAGAACCAAGCCUCCCUAACCCCUGGUCCUGCCUUCUUUCUACUCAUUCUAGGUGGUGAACCUAGAAGCUCCUUUGAAGCUAGAAGACAAUAGAACAGAAAGGCCAAAGAGCCCCUUACUGGCCCCCUCUAGUGCAGAAACAGUUGCAAGGCUUAAUGGUGUGCAAAGAAGCAGCAAGUAGCAACGCAUCAUAAAACAUUGUCUCCUUCCUCGUGGAGCACAUAACUGCACCUUGGCAGACACACAUUAGGCCAGGUAUGGUGGCUCAUGCCUGUAAUCCAAGCUCUUUGGGAGGCCAAGGUGGAUGGAUCACUUGGGAUCAAGAGUUCAAAAUCAGCUUGGCCAACAUGGUGAAACGUCUACUAAAAAUACAAAAAUCAGCUGGGCACGGUGACACAUGCCUGUAGUCCCAGCUACUCAGGAGGCUGAGAUGGGAGAACUGCUUGAACCCAGGAGGCAGAGAUUGCAGUGGACCAAGAUUCCACCACUGCACUCCAGCCUGGGCAACAGAGCCAGACUCCAUCUCAAAAAAAAAAAAAAGGCACAAAUUACAUGUUUUGGGGACUCAUGAUUCUAUCCUAGAGAUCUCUGGGCUAGUUCAUCUCCUCCAGGUAGAGAAGGCUGUUUUUAAUUGGAUGUGAUGGGUUGGUAUGGAAGUAAGACACACUGUCCAGAAAGCACAUCCCUCCAGCCACCACCCAAUGCCUACACCCCUUCCUAGGCUCAGCCUUUGCUUUCCUGGGAACCAAGUGUCCCCUGCCCCCUUCCUCUGCUUCAGGAGGUGCACACCAGCCCCAACUGAAACAAACCUAAAAUACAAACUCUGGAUUUAGGAGGGGAAAUGCAAAACAACUGCUGGCCUUAUAGGGUGACUUCAUGCAUGGGGAAUGGGAAACCGCAUCCUAAAACUGGCUGAACACGUGCUAUGCAUUAGAUGACAUUCACAAACUUUCUCCUAUUCAACCACAAUUCAGUGAAGGAAGAACUCCCCUUCUGAUGGGCAAACAGAGGCUCAGAAAGCUGAAAAGUUGUUUAGGGCCAGCUACUAAAGAAAUGGCCUCUUUAUAAUGCACUGCUCUGAGGUGCCCUCGAAUCGAAGCUGAAGAAGACAGCAAGGAAAGGACGACACCUAGACUCUCAAAUAUUCAGACCAUUAGAUUUGCAAAGAUAAGAGUUUAUCCCAAUUGGGCAGAAACUCCCAAUUGGGAUACGCAAAAGGAAAACUCCUCUCUACCCCAUAAAGCAGGUCCUUGGAUCCCAAUUCUGGGCUAGGCAGGCUUCCCCUGACCCUGCCUCUGGACCGCCAGAGGGUCAGCAGGACCACCCAUUCCCAGGGACGAGGGCUGCAGCCAUUGCUGCACCGCAGAAGCUCAGGCAGAGUCAGAACAGAGGGGCAGAGAGAGCCCUGUGCAUUGAUGAGAAGCUGGCUGAAGUCCAGAAAGCCUUCCUGCCCAGCUCCUUCAGAAUCUACCAGCCCCCAGUAGGCAGAGCAGCCCAAGCCAGCAGCUCACAGCCAGUCAGGGACAAGUGGCACUGUGCUGUGGGUCUAGUCUCACCAUGACCCGGAGAGACUGUGGAGAGCCCUGGUCCCUCUGCUCUUCAGCCUUCCCAGCCCCACCCUACCCCUUGCUCCCCACGGCACUUCCUUCCAACAGACCUCAGUUUUCUAUCCAGGCCAAAGGGAUUAUAAAGAUAGUCCUUCUCUUCUGCUUUAGGAAGUACCCUAAGAAGACAAAUCCAUGUUGUUACCAUGUGGGGGGAAAAAAAAGUACCCUCCUUCCAGGUCCCUGACAAGAAAGUGCACAUGCUUCUGCCUCUGUGCACUUUGUCAAAGGCAUCUCCCUGCUAGGAAUGUCCCACCCUCCUGAACCUGAGAGGCCCAGCACCAUUCCUCCACAAAGCCACUCCCCUCUGAAUUCCAAAAGCAUCCCGUGGCACACUUUCCUUGUAUGGUAAAGACUGUGUCCCUCUUUCCUCCUGGACCAUGCCCUUUGCAGGGGAAGGCUCAGCCAGCACUCACUCACCCAGCAGUUCUGUGGUCUUGGAGGAGGCCCGCGUGCAGCAGUACAUGGUGUUUGCAGCUCUGUUCACCUCCAUGAGAAGGCAGGAGAAGGAGACUGUCAAGAAUCUAAGCCAACGGAUACACUGAGCAAGCAGGAAGGGGGAAGGUGUGGUGCUUACCCAGAUCCCUGCAGCUGGGCGGGGCUUUGCCAUCUGGCCAUCCUCCCACCUAGCACAGGAAGGCCUUUGGUAACAGCUCGACAGGAGACACAGAAGUGACAAGUCAUCAUUCUCAUUAUUCUCACUAUGGGACGGCCCAGGCGCAGGGGGUGGUGCGAGUUCAAUGGCCCCAAGCAUUGUCUUCUUCCACCCAGCCCCACCACCAUCAUAGCCAAGGCACGGGCUCAGUGCUAAGCAUGGUACUGGAGAAGAAGAUAAAAGGGAACCCAAACAUAGUCUCCUCAGGUGCUGGAGCCCAUUCCAGCUGGGAUAUAAAACUCACCGAAAGUGAAAUAAUCUGGGUAUGGUUACAGAGCAAGACACUUCUGAAUGAAAAUCGGGGUGCUGAAUCAGAGGUUGGACAGGAGGCCCUUGUUGCAGCGGAGAAGUGAGGUGAAGCCCAGAGAAGGGAUGUGACUGGCCAAGGGGACCAGUGAAAAAAACUCCAAUCUAACAGUUUCAAGUCAGGGACCCUCCCUGCCUGCACCGACAAAAUUCACAACUGGGGCGGGCUCAGAAGGAAGGUUCAGCCAAUCAGGUUAAUUCAGGAAGCAUCAACCCACCACCUGCCAAAGGAGGCGAGUCUUGAGAUAAUUAACAUACUAUUUACUGAGUACAUACUCUAUGUCAGACACCAGCGAAGCACAGAUGAAGCUGCAUAGCAGCUGGCAUUGUAGUGAUCAGGUUCUAACAGAGGAACGAGUUCAACAUGAUUAUCAACACCAUCAUCACCACCACCGCCUCAUAAUCACCACCAUCACCAUCACCAUCAUCAUCAUCUUCACCACUGUCAUCACGGUCCUAGCUACCAGACUGAUGCUAAUACUAUUAAACCUAAUCUGUGUCAGUACUGCUCAUUGUCUUUAAUCCUGAAAUAAUCCUUUUAAAGUAGGAAUUAUUCUCUUCAUUUUACAAAUGCAAAGUGAGGCUCAGAGAAGCCAUGCAGCCUGCUCCAAGUCAUACUGUAAGAACUACGAUUCUGGAGUAGGUCUUUUGGAGUAUGAACUCUGCCCUCUUUCUGUAAUUCCAAGCUGCCUCCAUCAACAAGUAACUAUGCUAACACAUAAUAAAUGCUCUAACAGACGUAUAUACGGAGGACAGAGAAGGGUGUGGUUAAUUCUGCAUACGAUGUGAGCAGGAGGUUCACAAGGGGGAAAACAGUCCAGGUGAACCCUCCAGAGGGCUUUCAAGUUCUUCUGGUGGGAAGAGGGAUGGCAAUGUACUUCAAGGAGAGGAGACAGCAGGUGCAAAAGCAGGGAGUGGGGAAAGAAGGUAGGGGGGAGAGCAUCGAGUCCUGGGGCAUUGCAAGAGUGAGGAGUGAGUGAGCAGAGCAGUGACAGCAGGACCAGAACGUGAAGACCUUGUCCACUGAGCCCUGAGCUGCAGACAUGGAGUGAAGUCUGGAAGUUAUGAGAAGUCCUGGGAGUCUUGGGCUGGGGCAGUGAAAUGCUCAGGUCUAUGUUAAAAAGCUCCUGUGGCGCCAGGCGUGGUGUCUCAUGCCUGUAAUCUCAGCUCUUUGGGAGGCCGAGGUGGGCAGAUCACUAGGUCAAGAGUUCGAGACCAGCCUGACCAACAUGGUGAAACCUCGUCUCUACUAAAAAUACAAAAAUUUGCCAGGAGUGGUCAUCCACAACUAUAAUCCCAGCUACUCAGGAGGCUGAGGCAGGAAAAUCGCUUGAACCUGGGAGGUGGAGGUUGCAGUGAGCCAAGAUUGCGCCACUGCAUUCCAGCCUGAGUGACAGAGUGAGAUGCUAUCUCAAAAAAAAAAAAAAAAAAAAAAAUGCUCCUGUGGGACAAAGAUAGGACGUUUACUAUCCAGAUGUUUACAAAAAGUAGCAAUUGUCUACCAGGCCAGCAAUAGGAAACUGGUUAAAUAAAACUUGUUGCUCAUCCACAAUGAAACCCUCUGUAGUUAUUAAAAAUGAUGGUAUCUCUGAGCCAGCAAUUCCUCUUCUGAGGAUAUAUCCCAAGAAUUAAAAGCAGGGACUGGAACACAUACUUGCAUACCAUGUUCACAGUAGCAUGUUUCACAAUAGCCAGAGGAGGAGACAACCCAAGUGUCCAUCAACCAAUGAAUGGAUAAACGUGGUUCACACUCACGAUGAAACGUUAUUCAGCCUUAAAAAGGAAAGACAUUCUGGCCCAUGCUACAACAUGGGUGAACCUUGCAGACAUUAUGCUAAAUGAAAUA